CAGAAUAUCCGGGAAAAACGCACGAAACCACGUGCGUGGCCUCAACUCCUUUCCACCCUUUUUCUUUGCAAUUCGCGCUGCGGCCAAAAUUGUUCGUAAUUGGCGGUUAAUGUCCGAUCUGCGCUCGCCUUCUCACCGGUCGGUUCAACGUUGCUCCUCUUCAUCCCCGGUUCAGAGGAUUGGAUAUAAUGUGCUUUCGUUUCUGCUUGAAUACUCUACAUUAAGCCCUGGGAUGGGAGCAGAAGAGGUUGGAAUGAAUGGAGAAGCUUCGCCGGAGAAGCCUGAAGAGGGGGAGGAUUCGCUGGCGUCAACGUCGUAUUCACCAGAGAACGCGUUGGCAGGGGUUCGGACGCCGGAAGGUUCGUUAGAUGAUACGGGUUCUUCUGCUGCGAUUUUGGAGUCCCCGUCGUCCGCGACGACGUCUAGUUUUUCGUCUCCGCUGGCGAGCCUGAGGCAAGUGGGACAUUUUCAGAGCAAUAGCUUCCAGCGAUGGAAGCGACAGAUCCAGCGGGCUUGGGGAUGGGGAACAGCUGGGAGCAACGUUUACGGCGAGAAGAGGGAGCAGAGUUUGAUGGCGACGUUGAAUCUGGAGAUUAUGGCCAAACAGAAGAGGCUCUGGUAUCGAACCCAAUGGAAAAACCGGGAUAUUAAACUAUAUAAGGACCCAACAUUGCUUUUUGAACAAUUCUUCAUUGUUGGGCUCCACUCACAUGCAAAUGUUGAAGUCAUUGAGCAUUCGUUCGCUAGAAGAAAGACAUGGGAAUCUGAAGUGGCAAAAUCAGAUAUUUUAGAUCUUAGGAAGCUUCAGUAUAAUGGACAAAUCCCUACUCUUGAACCUCAGGUUCUUUACAAGUAUCCUCCUGUGAAGAGAGCAGCAAUGAUGGAAAGUGAUAUACCGGCCUUUUGUUUUCCUGAAGGUGUUAAGGCUCGUUUAGUGGAGAAAACACCAUCAAUGAGUGAUCUUAAUGAGCUAGUUUUUGGACAGGAGCAUCUGGCAAGAGAUGAUUUAUCUUUUAUUUUCUGCCUUAAGGUUUCAGAUAAUUCAACAUUAUAUGGUGUAUGCCUACAUGUUCAAGAGAUAGUUCAGAGGGCCCCAGGUAUUUUAGGUGCUGUCUCACCAGUUAUCGCUUCUUACAAGCCAAGCCGCUUUUUGGUAGCUGCACCACGUUGUUAUUGCAUACUUACGCGAGUUCCAUUUUUUGAACUGCACUAUGAGAUGUUAAACAGCAUAGUUUCACAAGAGCGCUUGGACAGGAUAACUCAAUAUGUCAGCGACAUGAAUCUUAUUGAACCUGUUCCUCCAGUAAUUGCAGAGCAUGAAAGUGUUGAUGAGGAUUGUGAUUACCUUGGCAGGGAAUCCUUGAACGGUUUGACGGGAUUUGCAAUACCAGUUGACAGUGUAGCAGGGCUUACCUCAUCUUCAGCUUCUAUAAUAUCUGAGAGGGAGGCUGCACCAAUGUUAUUCUGUCAAUCAGGUUUCCAUUCUCCAGCAAGUGCUUCCUUUAGUGAAGUUUCGGACACAAGUCAUGCAAGGGAGUUGGAUAAGGAGUCCAGAAGGUCUUGGCAAUGUUUGGAUGACUUGACCUCAGAAAAUUCUGGAUAUCGUUCUGACAGUUUUGAAAUAGUGAAUGGAGCUUUCGAAAAUGGACAAGCUUCACCAGAGGCGAAUUCAACAAUUUAUCAUUCUAUCAGAUGCCAAUUAGAACGUGUACAAAGUUUGGAGUCCAUCUACAGUUCAGUUAGAGGUGUGGGAUCAGAAGAUGAUGAGGACGAAUUUAGCUCAAAGCUUGAAGCGAAUGCUGCUGAUAUGAAAGUAAUUCAAUGGGCUAAGGCAAAUAAUAAUGAACCCCUGCAAAUUGUAUGUGGUUAUCAUGCCCUUCCAAUACCCGCCCGUGGCAAGGAAAUAAUUUUUCACCCGUUGGAGCAUUUGCAACCAAUUAAGUAUAGUCGUCCAGAUGCAUCUUCUUUGGAAUUGGAUAGCAAUUAUGACUUUGAUAAACCUGGUCAUCCUGAAUUUAAUGAGCUCAGCUCGAGAUUAGCAGCUGCUGAAGAACCUUUUGCCUUCUCAAUUUGGACCGUUGCAGCAGUUUGUCGAGCUCUAUCUCUUGAAAGUGUUUUGGCACUUGUCACUGCAGCAUUAUUGGAAAAGCAAGUUGUAGUCAGAUGUCCAAAUUUGGGAAUUUUAUCAGCCAUUGUUUUCUCAAUUAUUCCCAUGAUUCGACCUUUUGAGUGGCAGAGCUUGUUUCUUCCGGUGCUACCGAGAAAAAUGCUUGAUUUCCUUGAUGCUCCAGUUCCAUUUAUUGUGGGUAUACAGUUUAAGCCAUCUGACAAAAAGCUGAAAGCAGGCAAUCUUAUUUGGGUUAAUGUCUGCAAGAACAAGGUUAAUAUGCGCUCUUUGCCUCAACUUCCAUGCUAUAGGGAACUUGUCUCUGAACUGACUCCUGUUCAUGCUAGAUUAGCAUGUGAAAAUUCCAUAGCUAAAAGGCACCCUGUAUAUAAAUGCAGUGAAGUUCAGGCAGAGGCUGCUGGAAACUUCUUGCGCAUUUUGAGACGCUUUAUGGAAUCUCUUUGUUUGAAUUUGCGAUCUCAUACAAUCACUAAUAUACUGGCCAACAAUGACAAGGUUUCUCUUCUUCUUAAAGAAAGCUUUAUCGAAUCAUUCCCCACCAAGGAUCAACCAUUCAUGAAGGUUUUCUAUUUCCUAAUAUCAUCUCAUUCUUAAUUGCAUGGCUAUUUUUAAUGCUAUUCCUUUUGAGAUAUCUUAUUCCAAGAAUAAGAUUAAUCAGUUUCACAUUAUCAGUCAUGGAACUGAAGUAUCCUUGAGAUGGUGCCUUGGAGCAGAUUUGCUCAAGCUUCGCGACAGGGAUUACUUGAUCCAUCUAGUAUGUGGAUGCGGAUAAUUGUGUUAUGAGAUUAAUUAAAGGCUACGCAAUUUUUUAAGAGUGGGGAGUCCAUUAGCUUUAAAAGAUAUUAUCACCACUAAGGAGACCAAGCUUGAUGAGUAGCUUCCAACAGAGGUCUAGACAUUUUGGAUCUCGUUUGUUUUGGUGAUGAGAAAUGAUAGGAUUAUCUGCUGGUUAAUGCAUUGUUGGCAGCUUUCCUAAGGGAGAGGUGUUGGGAGUGCUGAAUAGCUUUUUGUGGACACACAGCUGUUUUCUGUUCUUUCAGACUCUCGAAUGUCCAGUUUUGAGAAUGAAAAGCCAUUACUGUGAAUAUACAAGCUGCACACUAUUAACCAUGAGCCAGAAGAUGGGGCUCCGCCUCCAUUGCUCCACUUCCACAGUGCUUGAGCUCACAGUGCAGGCACACUUGCAUUUGGAAGAAAAUCCUCCGGCGGAAUUGUAACAUAUUGCAAUGAUUAUAACAUGAAAUAUCAAAGUGAGAACCAUCCCAUUGUUUUAGAAGGGGAUGGCCAUGAUUACAAGUUAUAGGUCCUUUUUAGAAGCAAUAUUUUUUGUGUAUGUAAUUAAUAAAUACACUUAGGCCUCGUUUGGGGCGGCUUUUUUUCUGCUUCUUAAAUCAAUUUUUUUGGUACAAAAAUAAAAUUUGUGUACUAAGAAGUUACUUUAAGAAUCAGUAAAAAAGAAUCCCAAACGAAACCUUAAAGCUGAUUUUUUGGUGGGGAAUGAUCUUUUUUUUCUGUUUAAUGAUCACCUUGAGCAAAUAAUCAAGUUUUGCGUGAAGUACUCAGUUAUGAUUUGUUCUUGCUUGGUUUUUGAUGAAAUGGUAGCUGAAUCCAUGUUCUUCA